rnacentral:rRNA from 1 species
AUUGAACGCUGGCGGCAGGCCUAACACAUGCAAGUCGAGCGGAUGAAGGGAGCUUGCUCCUGGAUUCAGCGGCGGACGAGUGAGUAAUGCCUAGGAAUCUGCCUGGUAGUUGGGGAUAACGUCCGGAAACGGGCGCUAAUACCGCAUACGUCCUGAGGGAGAAAGUGGGGGAUCUUCGGACCUCACGCUAUCAGAUGAGCCUAGGUCGGAUUAGCUAGUUGGUGUGGUAAAGGCCUACCAAGGCGACGAUCCGUAACUGGUCUGAGAGGAUGAUCAGUCACACUGGAACUGAGACACGGUCCAGACUCCUACGGGAGGCAGCAGUGGGGAAUAUUGGACAAUGGGCGAAAGCCUGAUCCAGCCAUGCCGCGUGUGUGAAGAAGGUCUUCGGAUUGUAAAGCACUUUAAGUUGGGAGGAAGGGCAGUAAGUUAAUACCUUGCUGUUUUGACGUUACCAACAGAAUAAGCACCGGCUAACUUCGUG